UACAGAGGGGGCAAGCGUUGUUCGGAAUUACUGGGCGUAAAGGGCGCGUAGGCGGCCUGCUAAGUCGAACGUGAAAUCCCCGAGCUCAACUCGGGAACUGCGUCCGAUACUGGCAGGCUUGAAUCCGGGAGAGGGAUGCGGAAUUCCAGGUGUAGCGGUGAAAUGCGUAGAUAUUGGGAGGAACACCAGUGGCGAAGGCGGCUCACUGGACCGGUACUGACGCUGAGGCGCGAAAGCGUGGGGAGCAAACAGG
rnacentral:rRNA from 1 species